CCCACUUUGAAAGGCCAUAUGGAAAGGGUGAAUGUGCAGUUGGUUAAGCUUGAGUCACAUGUCUGGCUAUAACCCCCAGUGAAGGAACUGCCCUCUUCCAUUUCUGUCUGAGGCUGUAAGGGAUGGAACCAGCAUCUCCUAUCUGCAUCUCUGGCACUGGCAGCAGAUUCUUUACCACUUGAGCAACCUGGGAAGCCCCUAUAAACUUGAACUGAGAGGCAAAAGGCAUGCAUUAUCAAAACUCAUAGAAAAUUACUGUCAUGUGUAUCAUUUGAAAACAUUUUCCAUUUUAACCAGCAGUAUAUAUUGAGAACAUAAUGAGGAAGCAGUCCCCAGGUGGCUGGAAACAUUGCAAGGUGCAUGGCCUGCCUAAAGAUGUUAGUUGCUACCCAGCAACCAUGGAUCGCUGCCAUGGAAUUGCCAUGGAAUUCAGAACCAGGUUUGGCAGACAUUCCAGUGUUGGUGAAAAAGACAGAAACUCAUAUUUUAAAGUGAAAUCUCUAAAUUUUUGAAUGUUGGUGUUAACAACAACACAAAAAAUAUCUUGUGAGCUGAAACAAGUAAGUGAGGACUUUUCUCCUUACUAAAUGAACAGAAAAAAAAAACAUUACAUACCGGACCUUGGACUUGCCAGACCCAAUUUUAUUCAAAUCUCAAAGGGUCAGACACAACUGUGUGAUUGAACAACAAAUUUUCUUCAAAGUCCUUAAAAGCUUUUUAAAAUUAUUUAAGUGACAAUUAUUUUUAAUCUCAGUUUUGCCUUGGGGAGCAUCAAAAGAAAAAUUUAUUUCCUGCCAAAAGCCGUUGGUAGAAAAGCAAGAAACUUUAAUCCUAUUGUGGUUGUUCAGUCCCUCAGUCAUGUCCAACUCUUUGCAGCCCCAUGACUGCAGCAUGCCAGGCUUCCCUGUCCUUCACUAUCUCUAGGGGUUUGUUUAAACUCAUUUCUAUUGAUUUGGUGAUGUCAUCCAACCAUCUCAUAUUCUGUUGUAC